GUUAAGCACCUGGAAGUUCCAGAGAACUCAGAUGGUGGUGGUCAUUGUGCUAAGUUUCAAAUUCAGUAUUUAGGUUUGGUUUUUAGCUUAUAGGCAACAAAUUGGCUGACUAUGGGGUGAAAAGGAAGUACCUCCUUUAUCAAGAUUGGCUUCAGAAGAUGUCUGUCUCCCCUUCUGGUGGGUCCUGUGUCCAUUCACAGUGUGAGAAAUGGAAAGUCACUAAGAGACUUGCAAUGGAUGUAAAACUGGAUGCAGAAACUCUGGAUCUGAAGGGAAUGUUCAUGACUAUUUCAUCCCUCCUACCUUGGAGCACCAAAUGCAGGAGCCACCCAAGGUGAAAACCAUCCAUUUCUUGGAGAAGUGCCACUGUGGGGCUGCAAGUCCCAGGGUCAAGAUUUCUAUGUGUCUCUUUUUCCCUUAAAGUGGCUGAAAUCUGAAGCUGAAGUUGCAAGUGUCAUGGAGUCAUUGAAUCUCACAGUCUCAACUGAUAAAAGUUAUUAAAUGUCCUCUGGUUCAACCUUCUA